rnacentral:rRNA from 1 species
CCUACGGGCGGCUGCAGUGAGGAAUAUUGGUCAAUGGACGAGAGUCUGAACCAGCCAAGUAGCGUGAAGGAUGACUGCCCUAUGGGUUGUAAACUUCUUUUAUAUGGGAAUAAAAUGUUCCACGUGUGGGAUUUUGUAUGUACCAUAUGAAUAAGGAUCGGCUAACUCCGUGCCAGCAGCCGCGGUAAUACGGAGGAUCCGAGCGUUAUCCGGAUUUAUUGGGUUUAAAGGGAGCGUAGGUGGAUUGUUAAGUCAGUUGUGAAAGUUUGCGGCUCAACCGUAAAAUUGCAGUUGAAACUGGCAGUCGUGAGUACAGUAGAGGUGGGCGGAAUUCGUGGUGUAGCGGUGAAAUGCUUAGAUAUCACGAAGAACUCCGAUUGCGAAGGCAGCUCACUGGACUGCAACUGACACUGAGGCUCGAAAGUGUGGGUAUCAAACAGGAUUAGAGACCCCUGUAGUC